AUUAGAUUGAUUUCAGCAAAAGAAAUGCAUGAAUGUUAUACCCAUGAAAAUGUACUACCUCCAUAGAAAAAAGCAAUUUACAGGAUCAGAAGGAAGAUGACUACAAAGCGAAAAUGACAUCCUGUGCUUUCCUGGAAUGCCGAUCUGUGAUGCCCACAUCAGGAGUAUGCAGGCCAAGGUUUUAUGGCCAGGUAACUUUUCUCCAAGUCACCAGCUCUGAGAUCUACGCAUCUUGAAGACAAGAACUGAGUUCAGUUCAUCUUCGUAUCAUCCACAGACCACACAGUUUCUUGUUGAAUGAGUGAAUUAAGAAUGAGCCACUAAUGUAUUCACUUUUUAAAAAAAAAUGUGCAGCCAUGCUAUUUAAACUAAUCUG
rnacentral:lncRNA from 10 species